AGAGUUUGAUCCUGGCUCAGAACGAACGCUGGCGGCGCGUUUUAAGCAUGCAAGUCGAUCGGCAGCUGGGUAACUUCGGUUACCUGUAGGCGAGAGGCGAACGGGUGAGUAACGCGUAGAUAAUCUGCCCUCAAGUUUGGGAUAACAUCUGGAAACAGGUGCUAAUACCGGAUGUGGUGCUUCGGCACUAAAGUGGUGACACGCUUGGGGAUGAGUCUGCGUCCAAUUAGCUAGUUGGUAGGGUAAGAGCCUACCAAGGCGACGAUUGGUAGCCGGCCUGAGAGGGUGAACGGCCACAUUGGGACUGAGAUACGGCCCAGACUCCUACGGGAGGCAGCAGCUAAGAAUCUUCCGCAAUGGACGAAAGUCUGACGGAGCGACGCCGCGUGAAUGAUGAAGGCCCUAUCGGGUUGUAAAAUUCUUUUCUACAGGAAGAAAACCUACUUGUGUAGGCCUGACGGUACUGUAGGAAUAAGCCCCGGCUAAUUACGUGCCAGCAGCCGCGGUAAUACGUAAGGGGCUAGCGUUGUUCGGAAUUAUUGGGCGUAAAGGGUGCGUAGGCGGAUUACUAAGUGGGAUGUGAAAAUUCUGGGCUCAACCCAGAACCUGCGUUCCAAACUGGUAGUCUUGAGUAUAGGAGAGGAAUUCGGAAUUCCUGGUGUAGGGGUGAAAUCUAUAGAUAUCAGGAAGAACACCGAAGGCGAAGGCAGAAUUCUGGCCUAUUACUGACGCUGAGGCACGAAAGCUAGGGGAGCGAACGGGAUUAGAUACCCCGGUAGUCCUAGCCGUAAACGUUGUAUACUAGGUGUAUGAGGCAUUCAGACUUCAUGUGCCGAAGCUAACGCGAUAAGUAUACCGCCUGGGGAGUAUGCGCGCAAGCGUGAAACUCAAAGGAAUUGACGGGGGCCCGCACAAGCGGUGGAGCAUGUGGUUUAAUUCGAAAAUACGCGAAGAACCUUACCUAGGUUUGACAUGGACUGGACAGAUGGCGAAAGUCAUUUUCCCUACGGGGCUGGUUCACAGGUGCUGCAUGGCUGUCGUCAGCUCGUGUCGUGAGAUGUUGGGUUAAGUCCCGCAACGAGCGCAACCCUCAUGUUUUGUUACCAUCAUUAAGUUGGGUACUCGGAACAAACUGCCGAUGGAAAAUCGGAGGAAGGUGGGGAUGACGUCAAGUCCUCAUGGCCUUUAUAUCUAGGGCUACACACGUGCUACAAUGAGUGAUACAGAGUGUUGCUAAACCGCGAGGUCACGCUAAUCACAAAAAAUCAUCCUCAGUACAGAUUGGAGUCUGAAACUCGACUCCAUGAAGUCGGAAUCGCUAGUAAUCGCAGAUCAUGCUGCGGUGAAUACGUUCCCGGGCCUUGUACACACCGCCCGUCACACCACCCGAGUUGGUUCUACCCGAAGUCGCUGAUUUAACCGCAAGGAAAUAGGCGCCGAAGGUAGGGCUGAUAAGGGGGGUGAAGUCGUAACAAGGUA
rnacentral:rRNA from 1 species